UUAAUUGAAGAGUUUGAUCAUGGCUCAGAUUGAACGCUGGCGGCAGGCCUAACACAUGCAAGUCGAGCGGUAACAUUUCAAAAGCUUGCUUUUGAAGAUGACGAGCGGCGGACGGGUGAGUAAUGCCUGGGAAUUUGCCCAUUUGUGGGGGAUAACAGUUGGAAACGACUGCUAAUACCGCAUACGCCCUACGGGGGAAAGCAGGGGACCUUCGGGCCUUGCGCUGAUGGAUAAGCCCAGGUGGGAUUAGCUAGUAGGUGAGGUAAAGGCUCACCUAGGCGACGAUCCCUAGCUGGUCUGAGAGGAUGAUCAGCCACACUGGGACUGAGACACGGC
rnacentral:rRNA from 1 species